rnacentral:rRNA from 1 species
CCUACGGGUGGCAGCAGUGAGGAAUAUUGGUCAAUGGACGGAAGUCUGAACCAGCCAUGCCGCGUGCAGGAAGACGGCUCUAUGAGUUGUAAACUGCUUUUGUACAAGGGUAAACCUGAAUACGUGUAUUCAGCUGAAAGUACUGUACGAAUAAGGAUCGGCUAACUCCGUGCCAGCAGCCGCGGUAAUACGGAGGAUCCAAGCGUUAUCCGGAUGUAUUGGGUUUAAAGGGUGCGUAGGCGGAUGUAUAAGUUAGAGGUGAAAUGUCCGAGCUUAACUCGGGAACUGCCUCUAAUACUGUUGGUCUAGAGAGUAGAUGCGGUAGGCGGAAUGUAUGGUGUAGCGGUGAAAUGCUUAGAGAUCAUACAGAACACCGAUUGCGAAGGCAGCUUACCAAUCUAUAUCUGACGUUGAGGCACGAAAGCGUGGGGAGCAAACAGGAUUAGAUACCCGGGUAGUC